rnacentral:lncRNA from 1 species
AAGGAUUAGCUGCAGAAAUCUGCUCUUCCUCAGCUGUAAUUUGCAAUUUAAAUCCCCUGAGAAAGACUUUAGGGAUGAUCUAGAAAUGUUUAAUUGACAAUAAGAAAUUUGCCAAAAAAAAAAAAAAAAAGAAAAGGGUUCUUUGGAAAAAAUUAGAAAUGUAGUUUUUUUCUUAUUGUAGUCACUUCUAUUACUGGUAUAUUUUACUUGGGACAAGGAAAUACUUUAUACAUUUUUGUCAGAUAACAAAGACUUUUUUUUUUUCCCUAAUUGUAGUCUUGUUAAUAGGAGAAAUAAUCAAUUAAUACAUUUUUAAUACAUUUUCAAGCUAUUUCACUGCUGUUGGUCCAUGGAAGAGGCUAAAUUGGAAUAAAUCUUAGAGGGUGCAGUGUUAGACCUGUGCAGUGGAGUAACAUUUUGAAGGCUAUUUUUAUUAAGAGUAAAUAUACUAUAGAUAGCUUAAAAGUCACACUAACUCUAGACCUUGGUAUAGUAAAAAAAUCCAGAGGCUAGUUCUAGCCCUAUGAAUUAAUAGCUAUGUGAUGUUAUGCAAAUUAGUAUGUCUCUCUUAGAUUAGAUAUCAUCCUCUGUAAUCUAUCUUAUGUAAUAUAUAUAUAUAUAUACAUACACAUACACAUGUGCACAUGUAUCUAUAUAUGUAUAUUACCUACUCAGUAAAUUUGCAUAUUGAAAUUACUUACUUCUUUUCUCUGUCUCUCUACAAUAGAAUGUAAAAUCAUGAAAAGAGUUAGUUUUCUUUACCUUUAUAACCUCAGUGCCCAGGUCAGUGCCUGGAAGGUGACAAAAAAAAUGGUUCAAUGAGUAAACAAAUGAUUCCUAGUAACAAUACCACUCUCUUCCCUUGGUCAGCACUAGGUAAGUUCACAAAGUGAGAAGUUUCUCAGCAGCAUGAUUUCCUAGCUUUUCCUUGGAUACAAAGGCUUGGCCUUAGGUACAAGUGGAAAUAAAGGCUUCAAAACUUCAAACUGGAUGAAAACUCCUUUCCUUGAUCAAUCAGGUGGCUUCGAAACUUCAAAUUGGAUGAAAACUCCUUUCAUUGCUCAAUCAGGUGAAAAAUAACAGAAAUCCAGGGUCUCAGGAGCUAGGAAGAAGGGGCAAAGUCUAGGAGAGCAUCCUCACCCCAGUGUUUGUUCAGCUCCUGUUCUUUGGACAUUUCCUGACCCUCCGAAAUACAGAGAUAUUCAUGAAUAAUGGAGUGGAACAUGAGAAAGACCUCUUCUUUAGUUAUGCUCUUGCUCACCAUAAGAGGGAAGUUUUCUCAUCAUAAGGUGUAAGUUUUUGAAUUCUGGCUCAGAUAUCAACUGAUCCCAUCUCUGGAUUGAAAAAUAGACAGCUUUAUUCAUUCACUGCUUUGAUUGAUCUAAAAUAUUCUCUUGAGGUGCCUGAGUUUGGCAUUGCCGAAAAUCCUUCCUGUUCCUGCAGACACAACCAUGUUUUAUCACAGGUUUAAUUCCAUGGCACCUAAUGAAACUGUGGAAGGAGAAUUUUAGGGGCAAACAUCUCCUCUGUGAGAAGGUUAGUUCAGGGGACAAGGCAGGUAUCUGAUAAUUCUCACACCCUUUAAAGAGCUGAGUGUGCUGGGAAAAGGGAAGCUAUGGAUUUAACUCUCCAAUUCUCCAAGAUGAAAAGCUCUGUGUUCAUUCAUUAUUAUUAGAGUGAAGAGAGCAUGCCCUCAACCUUUUCAAGGCUGAGCUGGGCUAGUGUCUUCCAGGAUUCACCACUGGGACAAUGCUCUCCUGAAUUCUUCUGAACAUCAUGAUGUUAUGACAAGUACAAUGUAAAAGGACUAAAUACCUAUUUGUAGCAAGAUCACAAAAUGGGGAGACAUCUGUUCACAGGAAUAUUUUUCAUUUGUGAUUGGAAAGUAACUGAGUCCAGUUCUGUUCCUCUUUACUUUUUCCCUUCCUGUAGUUACACAGUAUAUAGGGUAUGCUAAUUUAGAAAGACAUGUUUUUCCCAUUCUUAUAAGCAGUCCUGCUCUCAUGGCUUUUUUUUUUUCCCCCUCAGUAGAGCCACUUUUGAGUCAUCUUUACAAUUUUCCAGAAAACAUCAUCUUCACUCCUCGCUAAAGUAAUUUGAGAAAUAGAAAUAUGUGAAGGACUUGUAUGCUUUCUUCUUGUUCUUUAGGAGAAGCUGUUCUGAUGGGAAUGGUUUGAGUUAAUAGUCUUUUUUUCUGUUCUAAGAUAUACGUGUGUGUUUUUUAUUUUAAUCUCUUUUCUUCUUUUGUAAAUGAACUUCCAUCUACAGCUUCCUCUCUCUUUGAAAAUGUAGAUUGUGUUUGCAGGCUAGCUACAGAUUCUUGAAAGUUUUUAAAAAGAAGGAGACUCAGUUUCUAGUUCCAUUUGAAGGGGACUACACCUAGAGGAAAGAGUUCCAGGAGAAAGAAGGGUGUGCAACACUUUUUACUCAUUUUCAGUUCUCUGCCUUGCCCUAAUGUAGAAAUACAGCUACACUAUGACUGUUCCUGAGUACUUAGCAUCUUCGUGAUUAUUUCUGUGGCCAAUUUUCUAAUGUAUUCAGUUGCACUAUUGAUUUUAAAUGUGCCAUAGGAUCUGUCCAGGAAUUUUAUUUCCCACUCUAACACCUUUGCUAUUUUUUUUUCUCAAGUUUAAAUAAUGUCAAUAAAAUUUUGGACCAUUUUCCUAAAAUACAUCUGCAUGCCCUCACCAACAUAAAUUCUAAAGACUGUGUAAGAACGUCUUCAAGUGACACGUUAUUAUUACAACAUCACUCUUAUUGACUGCAGGUAAAAUAAUAUAUUUUUAUAGUGUAAUAGUAAAAAGAAAAAUGAGUAUUUUUAAUUCUCAUAGAGCUAGUGCACUCCUGGCAUGUUCAUUCUCUAUUAGCCAUUAGAAAAAAAACAGAGAAAAAUCAAGUUAGAGUAGGAGUUAACUGUUUAUGCAGUAAUACUUGCUCUGGCUUAAAAAACUAGAUUACUGUUCUGAUCUAUCAUCCCACAUGAUUGCAUUCAUUUCAUGCCAGGUCGCUUAAGAUUUCCCCACUUUACUGCCAUAACUUGUUCCUGUGUGGCAUAUUGAGCACUAGAUCUUGGGUCAGAAAAUGGCAGUGGAAGCUUUGGCUCUGCCAGGUGCUGGCUGUGUGGCUUUAUCCUCGCAAAAUGAUCUUUCCAGGGUAAAUAACUUGUUUCACUUGCACCAGGACUUUCACUAGUUUAGUCCUCAAAGUCCCACUAAGGGACUUUAUCUUAUCCUUCACAGUCCUGGGCAAAUCAGACUGGAUGUCCAAAAUCCCCGCUUUUUGAGCAAGAAUACUCUCUCCACAUGCAAGCAAUUAAAGACAUAUUUACAAUUGUAAAGUAUUUUGAUUAAAUUUGUGUGCCUCCAAGUUCAUAUGCUAACCUAGGCCAAGUGUGUCUUCUACAACCUCAUGUUAUCUAAAGACUCCAAAGAGCUCUGGGCCCAGACAAAACUUUUGAGUAAGAAACAUAGUUUCAACUAGGGUCAUGACACACUAUGUGCAUCCUCCAUUGCUUUUUAUUUUAGCCAGAUUCUCCUUGCUGUGGAAGGUGAGGUUCUUUGGAGACAAUUAGACCUGGGUUGUAAUUUCUGCCCCCAUUUCCAACGAGAAAUUUACAUAAACUUUAUAAAUUGUAGCAUCCUAUUUGUAAAAUUUAGGCUUCUUUAAAGAUUAUGUAAGAUACUGUCUCUUGAAUGCUCAGCCCAGUGUUAGCCGCAUUAGUUUUAUCUAAAAGAUGUCUAUUUGUCAUUAUCAUAAUUAGUAAUUGUGGGAUUAGUAGGUCAGUGACCAACACUCAUAGAACUUUAGCAGUGAAACUUACAGCCAAGGAAGUAGUCAAGUGAAAAAUAAAUAAUAAUUGCUGGAUACGGAAAACCAGUGUGUUUUUUCAGUUAGGUUAGGAAACAGAAGAGAAGUGGAGUGGAUAUAAUGAAUCACUAGAUACUAAAAAUGAAUCCAGGGAUUCAGUUAAGAAAUAGUUCAAUAUCUCUUUGCUGGUCACUGGAUGCCUUGCUUGCUAUCUCAGUUGAAUUUCAUCAAAGAGUCCUACCUGGGCUCCUGUUCUCCAAAGAAAUUAUGACAUUCUAUGCCUACAAAGCACUUUCACCUGCAUUUUACUUGAUCUCAAAAAAAAAAAUUAUGUGAGUUAUACAUUACUUUCAAAUGCAAAAUUGAGGCUAUAGAGAUAAAGGGGCUACCAAUGUGAUGUAGCUUGCAAAUGAUAGAGUUUAAAUGGAGACAUAGGCUUUGUGACUCUAUAACUACUGCUUGGUCCACUAUGUCACAGGAAACACUGUAGUCACUUUGCAGCAUGUGCCUGGCUUCUCUGGUGUAUUUGAAACCUAUCCAUGCUGUAUAAUGUUUCUAUAAUAACCAACUUCCCCUGUCUUAAAGGGCAGGAUAACAACUACUGCUUUCUCUUUCUGAAAAUAGCAUAUUUUACAUGUAUUUAUUUCCUAGUGCAAAUCACAACAGCAAAGAAAUAAAUGAGCCCAAGUUUGCAGAAUCAGUUGAAUAAUUUAGACUGGACUAAACAAUUCAACUGGCUACAGAAUACCAAAACAAUUAACAUUUGUGUUUAGCUGACAGUUCUCAAAGAAUGUACUAUAUACUUGUCACACUGUAUUCAGUUCUGAAGAAAACCUAGCCUGCAAGUUUCAGAUGAGCAGAAAACAAAAACAAACAAACAAACACAUUCCAGUGGCUUAAAGUGUUAAUCCCCAUCAGGUCAAUUUCCAUGAAGUAGCAGUGAUGAUGAUGAUGAUGGUGUUAAUGAUGAUAUUCACAGCAACGAGAGUAGCAAGUAGGAACAUACGCAUUGAUACACAAUUUAAAAUCACUUUCAGAUACGUUCUUUUGCUGGAUACCUGUGAAAUAGAACAUAUGAGGAUUCUAUUCAUAACCUGUACAAGUACAUUUCCUGUUCCCCAGAAAGGUCAAAUCACCCCUUCCAGCCAAUUACAACCAGGGAUAGGACUAAAAUACUGAGCCUCUAACUGGUCAUUUCAUGCUGUUCCCAUGAUAUCAUUCCUCCCUUCCGGAUCCAACAUUUUUGAUCCUACCAUCUGAUGAAAUAGGAACAUCCAAGACUCAUUUGGCAACUUUGUCUUUCAUUCCCAAGACUCAACCUGUUACUGUAUUUACCAUAUGUUCAUUGGCUCUCUGCAAGGUGGAGAUGGCAUCCAUAACCAUAGCUGUGUGAAGACAGCGGUGGGAAGGGGGCUGGUCAUUCUUAGAGAAGGCAUAAACUCUUAAUUACGUGAUCACCUUUUGUCUGUUUUCUUUUUAUCUCCAUAAUAUGAUUUUGCAUGCCUUCUUUAACAACAGAAUCUUAGCCAGAAUCUGGCCAGGAUAGUACCUUAACAACAGUUGUUAAACCUCUUUUGGAGAACUUCUCAGGCAAAGCAUUGUUUCCCAGCAAGUUCCCUUCUGGUUAUGUCCUUUGUUGCCAAACUGACUCCACUUUCUUGUUCCCUUUACGCAAAAUGAUCCAAGAGCUUUGCCUGUAUAAUAGCAUUCUGAGUUCAGUACUUAAAUACCUGGUGAGUUUUCACUACUUACUUUAAAGUGCCAUGUUCUAAAUGAUUUUUCUUAUCAAAAUAGUGGGGAAACACAGAUUAUAAAGGCAAAAGGAAGACACACAAUCCAUCAAGUCUAAAGGAGAAAGUACUCAGAAGACUACAGGGGCUAGAAAGGCAACCUAGAUGACUAAGGAGCUUCAAGUGAGUAUUGCAAGUGUUUUAGUUUCUCAGGACACGUCUAACAAAAGCACUAACUGCUAGGUGGCCUAAAAUAAUAGUUCUAUAUUAUUUCACAGGUUAGGAGACCAAAAAUCAAGGUUUCCCCAGGGCAUGCUCUUUCUGGUGGCUCUAGAAGAAAAUCCUUCUUUGUCUCUUCUACCUGCUGGUGUUGGGUGACAGUCCUUGGCUUGUCGAUACAUCACUCUCUUGCAUGGCUGCCUUCAUCCUUCAUGUCUUCACAUCACUUUCCCUCUUUGCAUGUCUGUCUAGGAUUAGGAUCCACUCCAAUGACACUGUUUUAGUUUUAAUUUGAUUGCUUUUGUUAGGUCCUUCUUCCUAAAUAAUGUCACAUUUUGAAGUACUGGGGAUUAAGACUUCAAUGUAUAUUUGAUGGAGGUAUGCAGUUUAACCCAUGACAAGGAUAAACUGGAGAGUGCAUAAGGUCUCCAAAAGGGUAGUGGCACUCAGCUCCAGCCUAUUGCUUAAAUUUUAAGACUUCUUAUUUUUGAAGGAAAACUGGAAACUGGACCAUUUUAUGGAAAGUAUCUGUAAAUUAUUCUCCUAAUUAUGUGAUAAGUAAACUAAGCAUUAUUAAGGUCUCACUGAGUCUUCUCCAAGCCCCCAGAUUCUCUGAUAGUCCUAAUCUCUCCAUUUACAUGUGAGAACUGUGGGCCCAUUGGGCUGUAAAAUUGGCCACACGGCUGUUUUGUGGACAAGUAAGGUUCACAGUCUCCUGCUCCUAAUUUUGUUUUCUUUGGAUAAAAAGCAGGGAUUGAUUAGAGACAAUUUUUUUUUUCAUGGUCAAACAACCUUCCUUUCUACGUUCAGUUAUAUCAAGUCCUAUCUGUUUAAAAACAUCUUCCUUCAAGAUACUAAAUUUUGCCAGAGAAUAAUAUACAAAGUGAAAAAAAGAGUCUGUUCAAAAGUUUUAUAUAUAUAUAUAUAAAAUAUUACAUAAUUGAUCUAUAUAAUCAAAACAAAGAUAUUUAGUUUUCAAAUAAAUAAAAAUGUUCUUGUUUUUCUUUUUUUGCUAUUUUACAGUAUCCUUUCUCUCUCUGUGUCUUUUUAAAAUAUGGAAUCAUUUUUCUAUGAUGUAUUAAAUUUUCUCCUUUAUAAAAAUAAUUUACUUGAAAAAUAAAUAAGUACAUAAGGCAAAUUAUAAAGAGACAAAAAUGAUACCCAGAAUAUACUGCGGGCAUUGUGAAAAGGAUUUGGGAGUGAUGGGGAAAUCUGUAAAAAAAAUUUUAUGAAUCUCUCAUAAUCCCUCCCUUAAAAGAAAAAAAAAAGAAAGAAAUCUGGGCAGGAACAUCAAACACUUAAUAACACAAUUUACAAUCUAGCUAGAUGACAAGGUAGCCUCUGAAUCCCUAAAACAGGUAGAUGAGGACACGCCAUUAACAGUGACACACCCCCUGCAGUGUUCUCAUUGGUAUAGGAGAAAGGAAGGAGUGAUGAGAAGCAUCUCUGAUAAUGACCCUGAGAGUAGGGAAAUCACUCAAAAUCAGCCAAGAGCCAAUCUGAGAACAGAAGCUAAAACUGAGAAGAGAAUCUGCAGGAUGAAUGUGUGAGCCACUACAGCAAUCAGGAGGGAAGCUGUCUGGGCUGUAAGUUCUGAAAAUGCAACUUAUCAAAGUAGCUCUCACUCAAGCCAGUCUGUUACCAGAUUGAGUGCAUUUGCACUAAGUAUUCUAUGCACUCGCGAGGCAGGGGUUGAGGUCAGAGAGACAGGCAGGGGUCAGAUAAAUACAGGGAUUUGCCAGGUGGUAAAAGAGUUAAAAUCUCAUUCCAGGAGUUCCCAUCGUGGCGCAGUGGUUAAUGAAUCCGACUAGGAACCAUGAGGUUGCGGGUUCGAUCCCUUGAUCUCUCGAUCCCUGGCCUUGCUCAGUGGGUUAACGAUCCGGCGUUGCUGUGAGCUGUGGUAUAGGCUGCAGAUGUGACUCAGAUCCCGCGUUGCUGUGGCUCUGGCCUAGGCUGGCAGCUACAGCUCCGAUUCGACCCCUAGCCUGGGAACCUCCAUAUGCUGCGGGAACGGCCCAAGAAAUGGCAAAAAGAC